rnacentral:rRNA from 1 species
UACGUAGGGUGCAAGCGUUGUCCGGAAUUAUUGGGCGUAAAGAGCUCGUAGGUGGCCUGUUAAGUCGAACGUGAAAUCCCCGGGCUCAACCCGGGAACUGCGUCCGAGACUGGCAGGCUCGAAUCCGGGAGAGGGAUGUGGAAUUCCAGGUGUAGCGGUGAAAUGCGUAGAUAUCUGGAGGAACACCGGUGGCGAAGGCGGCAUCCUGGACCGGUAUUGACGCUGAGGCGCGAAAGCCAGGGGAGCAAACGGG